GGGAAGAAGAAAAGCGGGGAACGAAAAGGGCACGCCCGGGGAGGAGGGGGAGGAGGCCGAGGGGAGGGGCGGGAGAAGAAAAAAGCGAGGCGGAGCGCGGGUUUUGAGGGUGACCGCGUCGGAAUUGAGCCGUCUUUCAAAUGUUAAUUCAUGUCAAAGUGGCUUAAAAUUCAUCCAUCCGGUACGAUUAAAGCGUAUUUAAGAUCAAUUUUGAUUAAGAACGCGCGAUGACGUACCAUCUCAUGUAGUACGUUUGACCUGGGUCAUCAGGUUCAUUCGUAUACGAUACUCAAAACUUUUG
rnacentral:misc_RNA from 1 species